rnacentral:rRNA from 1 species
CCCUUGCGUUCUAUCCGUUGGUACAGAGCCGGGGUAAUGAUUAAUAGGGAUAGUUGGGGGCAUUAGUAUUUCAUUGUCAGAGGUGAAAUUCUUGGAUUUAUGGAGGACUAACUUCUGCGAAAGCAUUUGCCAAGGAUGUUUUCAUUAAUCAAGAACGAAAGUUGUAGGAGCCACAGCGAUCAGACACCGCUUUAGUUGCAACCAUAAACGAUGCCGUCUAGGGAUUGGAGGCAGUACCUAGAAUGACUCCUUCAGCACCUUAUGAGAAAUCAAAGACUUUGGGUUCCGGGGGGAGUAUGGUCGCAAGGCUGAAACUUAAAGGAAUUGACGGAAGGGCACCACCAGGAGUGGAGGCUGCGGCUUAAUUUGACUCAACACGGGGAAACUCAC